rnacentral:rRNA from 1 species
UACGGAGGGUGCAAGCGUUAAUCGGAAUUACUGGGCGUAAAGCGCGCGUAGGCGGCUAGUAAGCUAAAUGUGAAAUCCCUGGGCUCAACCUGGGAACUGCAUGUAGAACUGCUUAGCUAGAGUGCAGAAGAGGAGUGUGGAAUUUCAGGUGUGGCGGUGAAAUGCGUAGAGAUCUGAAGGAACAUCAGUGGCGAAGGCGACACUCUGGUCUGACACUGACGCUGAGGUGCGACAGCGUGGGUAGCAAACAGG